AAAACCUCAACAAUUCAUAUUCGCAGAAACGUGAUACAUCCACAGGUGAUACUAAGUUCAUAUGUGGUUUUAAUGUCAAAUCAUACAAGGUAACACAGGUGAUACUAAGUUCAUAUGUGGUUUUAAUGUCAAAGCAUUAAGGUAACACAGGUGAUACUAAGUUCAUAUGUGGUUUUAAUAUCAAAGCAUUAAGGUAACACAGG